UACGUAGGGGGCAAGCGUUGUCCGGAAUCAUUGGGCGUAAAGAGCGUGUAGGCGGCCCGAUAAGUCCGCUGUGAAAGUCCAGGGCUCAACCCUGGAAUGCCGGUGGAUACUGUCGGGCUCGAAUCCGGAAGAGGUGAGUGGAAUUCCUGGUGUAGCGGUGAAAUGCGCAGAUAUCAGGAGGAACACCAAUGGCGAAGGCAGCUCACUGGGACGGUAUUGACGCUGAGACGCGAAAGCGUGGGGGGCAAACAGG
rnacentral:rRNA from 1 species